rnacentral:misc_RNA from 1 species
AACAUCGCGCACCUGCGGGAACCUGCGGAGGGAUCAUUACAGAGUUCGUGCCCUCGCGGGUAGAUCUCCCACCCUUGUGUAUUCUCUACAUCUUGUUGCUUUGGCAGGCCGUUGGUUCGCCAACCACCGGCUCGCGGGCUGGUGCGUGCCUGCCAGAGGACCUCUCAAACUCGGUUUGUUAGUGUCGUCUGAGUACCAUAACAAUCGUUAAAACUUUCAACAAUGGAUCUCAGAUCGGAA